UAUGUGAUCGUCUCUCGCAUAUCAAUAAGCGGAGGAAAAGAAACUAACAAGGAUUCCCCUAGUAACGGCGAGCUGAAGCGGGAAGAGCUCAAAUUUGAAAUCUUAAAGGGUUUCCCUUUACGAAUUGUAGUUUAAAGAAGUGUUUUCUGUUGAGGUUUUGGUAAAAGUUCUUUGGAAUAGGACAUCAUAGAGGGUGAGAAUCCCGUAUUUGACCUUUACUUUCAACUGUGUGAUACACUUUCAAAGAGUCGGAUUGUUUGGGAAUGCAGUCCAAAAUGGGUGGUAAAUUUCAUCUAAAGCUAAAUAUUGGCGAGAGACCGAUAGCGAACAAGUACCGUGAGGGAAAGAUGAAAAGAACUUUGAGAAGAGAGUUAAACAGUACGUGAAAUUGUCAAAAGGGAAGCGUUUGACACCAGUGUUGUUUUUCUGAAAAUCAAUUAAAGAACUGUUUAUGCUAAGCUGUUUAGACUUUAUCAGCUAUCUGUUUAGUUUUGAGCUUUUCUUUAAUGCACUUUUCAGCUAACAAGUCAGCAUCAAUUUCUUUUGCUGUAAAAAAGCUUGAGGAAGGUGGCUUGAGAUUCGUCUUAAGUGUUUAUAGCCUCUUGCCUAUGCAGUCGGAGAGAUUGAGGUCUGCAGCGUAGAUCCUUCGGGGCUAAAUGCAUUUGUGCUAAGUUAUAGCAUUUUAUAGACAACUUGUUGACUAUGAUUUGUCUUGUAGCUUACUCGCUUAUGUUAUUUUACCUACGCUUAGGAUGUUGAGUAGCGACAUACGCAC
rnacentral:rRNA from 1 species